GAGGGUAUAGCUCAGUGGUAGAGUGAGUGCUUAGGAUACACAGGGUCCUGGGUUCAAUCCCCAGCACCUCCA
rnacentral:tRNA from 1 species